rnacentral:siRNA from 1 species
AUUUGUGUCAAUAAAAGCUCC